UACGUAGGGGGGCAAGCGUUGUCCGGAAUCAUUGGGCGUAAAGCGCGCGUAGGCGGCCGGUAAGUCCGUUGUGAAAGUCAAAGGCUCAACCUUUGAACGCCGAUGGAUACUGCCGGGCUAGAGUCCGGAAGAGGCGAGUGGAAUUCCUGGUGUAGCGGUGGAAUGCGCAGAUAUCAGGAGGAACACCAAUAGCGAAGGCAGCUCGCUGGGACGGUACUGACGCUAAGGCGCGAAAGCGUGGGGAGCGAACAGG
rnacentral:rRNA from 1 species